GACGAACCGUGCAAACGUUAUUCGGAAUCACUGGGCAUAAAGGGCGCGUAGGCGGCUCCAAAAGUCAAGGGUGAAAUCCGGCAGCUUAACUGUCGCAGUGCCUUUGAUACUGUGGAGCUAGAGGGAGGUAGGGGUCUGUGGAACUUCCGGUGGAGCGGUGAAAUGCGUUGAUAUCGGAAGGAACGCCGGUGGCGAAAGCGACGGACUGGAUCUCUUCUGACGCUGAGGCGCGAAAGCCAGGGGAGCAAACGGG
rnacentral:rRNA from 1 species